rnacentral:rRNA from 1 species
GCCUGUUUAUCAAAAACAUGGCUUGUUGACAAUGAUUUUAAGUCUGGCCUGCCCAAUGAAUGAUUUUAAUGGCCGCGGUAUCAUGACCGUGCAAAGGUAGCAUAAUAAUUAGUUUUUUAAUUGAAAGCUGGAAUGAAUGGUCGGACAAGGAAACAACUGUCUCUAUAAAAAAAAGUAGAAUUUAAUUUUUGAGUCAAAAAGCUUAAAUGUGCUUGAGGGACGAGAAGACCCUAUAGAAUUUAAUAAAUCAAGAAAUUGUAGAUUUUAGGGUUUAUUUUUUUUAAAAUUUUUGAUUUAUUUUGUUGGGGUGACAGAAAAAUUUGUUGAACUUUUUUUUUAAAAAAACAUGAAUUAGUGAAUAUUUGAUCCAUUAUUAAUGAUUAAAAGAUUAAAUUACCUUAGGGAUAACAGCGUUAUUAAUUUGGAGAGUUCUUAUCGAUAAAUUAGUUUGCGACCUCGAUGUUGGAUUAAAAUUAACUUUUGGUGCAGAAGCUAAAAAGUUGGGUCUGUUCGACUUUUAAAAUUUUACAUGAUCUGAGUUCAGACCGG